rnacentral:rRNA from 1 species
UACGAAGGGUGCAAACGUUGCUCGGAAUUAUUGGGCGUAAAGCGCACGUAGGCGGCUUAGCAAGUUGGAUGUGAAAUCCCUCGGCUCAACCAAGGAAGUGCAUCCAAAACUGCUAAGCUUGAGUACUUAAGAGGAUCGCGGAAUUCCCGGUGUAGAGGUGAAAUUCGUAGAUAUCGGGAGGAACACCAGUGGCGAAGGCGGCGAUCUGGGAAGAUACUGACGCUGAGGUGCGAAAGCGUGGGGAGCAAACAGG